CAUGAGUAAACAUGGAAACAUACCCUCCUCCAUUCAACCCCAACUGACAGUUUGACUGCAACCUCAUGAGAGGCCCUGGAGCCAGAACCACCCUAAGAAGCUACCAUGAUCCACAGAAAUUAUGAGAUUCACCCUGAAUUCUUUCUUGUGCAAGAUCCAAGAACCCAGUCUUGGGGUUUGUAUCUGGACCCCUUUCCGGUAACAAUAGUGCAUAAAGAUCUAUUCUGAG
rnacentral:lncRNA from 1 species